CCGGUUAAGCCCUUUGCGUUUUAGCGCCUUUGUAAACAUUGGCGUGUUUCAUUUUCCAUCUGGCCCUAUGUCAAACGGCCAAACACGACGUCAGGAUUUGUUUUUGUUGUUCUUUUGUUUUUUGGCUUCGCAGGCCAAACCAAAACAAAUUAUGAUAUCGUGUUAGGACUUUUGCACCAAAAACUCAUUUUUCUCGUUUUACGUUAAUUGAACAGUUAAUUAGUUUUAUUUUCAUAAAAUUUAUAUAAUGUAUCGAGUUUUAUUGUAUUCCUAAAGGGAAGUGCAAAGCAGGUGGCGGCAGAGGUCGAGGGAGGAAGAAGUUUUCGUUCGCUGUUUUUUCGGAGGAGCUGCUGCUGCUGAGCCGCCAUGGAGUAUCAACCCGGUUACGGUGAUAAACAUGCCAGAGUACGUGACGAGUCGGAUGGCGGGGAUUAUCCGGAACCGACAGCAGCAGGUUAUUGCGAAGCCAUGAGGCUCGAAAUCGUUUGUGUAACCGCAGUUCUCGGCGCAACUGAUCGAUCUGUGCUCGCUGGACCUCGCUCCGAAGAAAACCGCCACCAGCAGGUUCGGUCUGGACUAGGAUGAAACUGCGCCUACGCCAAAAGGAUACAAACGUACCUCCUCAUCAUCUGUGACGAGAACAAAGUAUCCGGACAACACAGUGAACCACCCGGAAUAGUCUUCCCUGGUGCCAACACAGAUGCCGCAAAAUAGCUCGGACGUCUCCGUCGAUCCUGUAUGUUUUUGUGCUUUACCGGAUAUCACCCAAGGAAAAAGGAAGUGAUUGAGUUCUUUCUGUUCUAAAGAGCGUAUUCAACGGGAGGUUCCAUCGGAACAAAAUAGCUUGGAUCUUGCUACGGCCGAAAAGUACGACACGGAAUAGCAAACUAGAGAAAUGAAUCACCUCUCAUAAGCAAAGAUUUCAAGUGAUGGUUUUCACCAAAUAAAUUGAUGCAUUUUUGUU